GUGCCAGCAGCCGCGGUAAAACGUAGGUGGCAAGCGUUAUCCGGAUUUACUGGGCGUAAAGCAUGUGCAGACGGGUUGGUAAGUGGUGUAUGAAAGCGUUCGGCUUAACCGAGCAAGCGUAUGCCAGACUGCCAGUCUUGAGAGUGGGAGAGGGAUGUGGAAUUCCGGGUGUAGUGGUGAAAUGCGUAGAGAUCCGGAGGAACCCCAGAGGCGAAGGCGGCGUCCUGGCCCAUUUCUGACGUUCAGACAUGACAGCAUGGGGAGCGAACGGGAUUAGAAACCCCAGUAGUCC
rnacentral:rRNA from 1 species